rnacentral:rRNA from 1 species
AUUGAACGCUGGCGGCAUGCCUUACACAUGCAAGUCGAACGGCAGCGGGCCUUCGGGUGCCGGCGAGUGGCGAACGGGUGAGUAAUGCAUCGGAACGUGCCAUUGAGUGGGGGGAUAACGUAGCGAAAGUUACGCUAAUACCGCAUAUUCUGUGAGCAGGAAAGCAGGGGAUCGCAAGACCUUGCGCUCUGGGAGCGGCCGAUGUCGGAUUAGCUAGUUGGUGGGGUAAAGGCCUACCAAGGCGACGAUCCGUAGCGGGUCUGAGAGGAUGAUCCGCCACACUGGGACUGAGACACGGCCCAGACUCCUACGGGAGGCAGCAGUGGGGAAUUUUGGACAAUGGGCGCAAGCCUGAUCCAGCCAUGCCGCGUGAGUGAAGAAGGCC